rnacentral:misc_RNA from 1 species
GAUGAAGAACGUAGCGAAAUGCGAUAAGUAGUGUGAAUUGCAGAAUUCAGUGAAUCAUCGAAUCUUUGAACGCACAUUGCGCCCCUUGGUAUUCCAUGGGGCAUGCCUGUUCGAGCGUCAUUUGUACCUUCAAGCUUUGCUUGGUGUUGGGUGUUUGUCUCGCCUUUGCGUGUAGACUCGCCUUAAAAUAAUUGGCAGCCGGCGUAUUGAUUUCGGAGCGCAGUACAUCUCGCGCCUUGCACUCAUAACGACGACGUCCAAAAGUACAUUUUUACACUCUUGACCUCGGAUCAGGUAGGGAUACCCGCUGAACUUAAGCAUAUCAAUAAGCGGAGGA